UACGUAGGGUGCAAGCGUUGUCCGGAAUUAUUGGGCGUAAAGAGCUCGUAGGCGGUCUGUCACGUCGGCUGUGAAAACCCGAGGCUCAACCUCGGGCCUGCAGUCGAUACGGGCAAACUAGAGUACUGCAGGGGAGACUGGAAUUCCUGGUGUAGCGGUGAAAUGCGCAGAUAUCAGGAGGAACACCGGUGGCGAAGGCGGGUCUCUGGGCAGUAACUGACGCUGGAGGAGCGAAAAGCAUGGGGAGCGAACAGG
rnacentral:rRNA from 1 species